GAUGAACGCUGGCGGCGUGCUUAACACAUGCAAGUCGAACGAAACACCUUAUUUGAUUUUCUUCGGAACUGAAGAUUUGGUGAUUGAGUGGCGGACGGGUGAGUAACGCGUGGGUAACCUGCCCUGUACAGGGGGAUAACAGUCAGAAAUGACUGCUAAUACCGCAUAAGACCACAGCACCGCAUGGAGCAGGGGUAAAAACUCCGGUGGUACAGGAUGGACCCGCGUCUGAUUAGCUGGUUGGUGAGGUAACGGCUCACCAAGGCGACGAUCAGUAGCCGGCUUGAGAGAGUGAACGGCCACAUUGGGACUGAGACACGGCCCAAACUCCUACGGGAAGCAGCAGUGGGGAAUAUUGCACAAUGGGGGAAACCCUGAUGCAGCGACGCCGCGUGAGUGAAGAAGUAUUUCGGUAUGUAAAGCUCUAUCAGCAGGGAAGAAAAUGACGGUACCUGACUAAGAAGCCCCGGCUAACUACGUG
rnacentral:rRNA from 1 species